CCGCGCUGUCUGAGACCAUUUUCCGUCGCAGUAGCAGUGCAGUAAGGACGCCACCCAGGUCUGACGGCUAUUAUACACAGGUAGAAAGGGUCUCAGUGCUGACAUUGACUGAUUUAUACUUAGCUAAAAGAGUACGACUUUACAAGACUGUUGAAGAAAAUGGUUUUAAAACUUAACAAAAGAUCACUAUGUUAUCGUCAUCGACAUUUAGUCGCUAUGGUGAUAUUUAUGGCGGGAAUUAUUAUUUAUCUGAAAUCGGAUUUGUGGGUCAGUAGUUUUACGACCAACCUAACCCCAACAUCUCAACACCACUCAACUUAUCAACAGAUAAAUAGUUCGCCAUUGAUUGUUUCCAAAAAUGACAAAUCUGAUAAGAUAAACAAGACUGAUUCUUUGGUAUAAUACUCUGAGCUACGUCAAACGUGCUCCACAGUUUAACCGCACUCUGCUCCCUAGGAGCAACACACUUUCACACAGCAACUUCAAAUAAGCUACCUUCUUCAUUACUCCAGUUGAUAGAGAACAGUAUUCAUUUCAAUUCAUGGGGAUCACGGUGGCUAAGUGGGUAAGACGCGCUCGGGUGUUCGAUCCCUGCAUUGGCCGAAAAUGUUCAUCCAGAUUUUCCGACGUGUUUUCCCCUUGUCAGUGAUGGAGGGCCUGACAAGGACAGCUGUCUAGUCGUUCGGAUGGGACGAAAAACCGAUUGCCGCACGUAAAAGAUCCCUUGGCAGUUGGAAUUCGUAUGCCCGUCUUCAUUAACCCUGUUUAGGAGUAGGACGUUAAACCCCAUUUCAUUUCAUUUAAUUUUAAAUACGAUCCCACUAUGAAGUUGUAGUUCUGCAACACACGUCACAUUGCUGGCAG